rnacentral:rRNA from 1 species
GGUUAAGCCCGAUGAACCUGAAUUACUGAAAUGGGAAAUUCAGUAUGGUUUUUUGUUUAUAUUUAAACAAUAAAUUGUAUGCACUUUUCCCAUAGUAAGUCAUUGCAAUCCAUUAGUAUAUUAAUUUAUUAAUUGUUUAUUAAAAGGCCCGUGUGUUUAGUUUUUCCUAUCUGUGGUAAUUUUUUUAAUUAUCAUAUGGAUAACAUCACAAUGGUGUCCUAAUAAGCAGCUGAUGGAGUUUAACAAUUAUCCAAUUAUAUGCACAUAUAUUACACAGUUAAAAUGCUUUUUAGCACAUAUUUUCGUACGUGUUUGGAUGUAUUUGAUUUGCAAUGCGAUAGAUUUGGGAUACCUUCGGGACCCGUCUUGAAACACGGACCAAGAAGUUUAGCAUAGGCGCAAGUCAUUGGGUAGUUUGAAGAAACCUAAAGGCGUAAUUAAAAUAACUAGUUAUUUAUUCUUCGGAAUGAAUAAUAGAAUGGGAUUACGAGAAAUUCUUUUAAUUAAGAUUUUUCCUCCAUCCCGGGGCGUUCUAUACGAACAUGAUUUAAGCAAUUGAGUCCUCUGUUCACGAGCGUACCUUGAGCGUCUAUGUUGA